rnacentral:rRNA from 1 species
GCCAGUAGUCAUAUCACCUUGCAGCUCACAACUGGCAACCCACUGAAGCUCAGCAGGUGUGAGCCUGGUCAGUACCUGGAUGGGAGACCCCUGGGAAAGCUAGGGUUGCUGCUGGAA